UAUUAGCAUCCGUAAUAAUAACCUUAAAUAUUUUCUCUUGUAUUGGAAUAUUAUUUACGUGUACACAACAUUUUGAAGAUUCUAAGAGGACUGCAUAUGAGCUGGCGGAAUACAUAGAAUCUUUGGACGGGUAUAACGAGUUAAAAAGAAUUUCAGAAAGAUUAGAGGUCAAAAUCUCGGAGGAAUGUAAUAGAAAUACAACAACACCUCCUAAUCCUGUUUCUUUGUACCUAUACGCAACAACUGUCGCCGAAGCUUUAAAUUCAAUCACAGAUAUAAUCAACAGGACAGACGAUGUUCAACUAAAAGAAACAAUGACAUCAUUCGUUUCAAAUUUACCUACGGAAGCAGACGUUGAUGGUGUCAUUUUGUCAUUUGUAAGGUUACAAAACACUUACAACGUAUCUGCACGUGACAUUGCUAGCGGUAACAUAUUUGGAUUUAAAGUGCCAAA